CCCAAAAUCCAUGUCUUCCCACCAUUGAUGUUUGAAACUCGCCUCAGGUUGCACGAUUGUCAUAACCCAAGCUUCGUUCUUUUUCUUUCUCUCACAAAAAUUGCAAUCCUCCGAUGGUAUCGACCUCCCUUGGAGUUUUCGCCCCAAAAUUGGAGGCUUGGAAGCACAUACAGUCAUCUGGAGUUUUUCUCGAAUUGCAAGGGAGUUACAACUGAGAGAUAUUGGGGGCAUAAUUGUGGUAGAUUUCAUUGAUAUGGCCGAUGAAUAUAAGAGAUUAUGCUGGAGAUUAUUCAGACGAGUCAGAGAAUGAUGAUGCUGUAAAAAAGUACACCAAAAUGUUUGACUGGUCGAAGUACCCUCCUGAAGGCUAUGUUCCUAUCUCUAAGAAACAAGUCAUCGAGGACAAUCCAAAAAAACCCAAGGAUCUGGAACAAGACAAGUUAUGGUGUGUUUGAUACUUCAGGUUUUGGAUGCAAGACAGUUUCUAUCUAGAUGUGGUGGAUUGGUCUUCGCAUAAUGUAUUGGCUGUGGAUUGGGAAUCUAGGUUUAUUUGUGUAAUACUUUUAGUAGUAAGGUGAGCUCUACUGUAUAGACUUUGU